UUAAAUACAAAUUUUGUUGUUGUUAAUAAUUGAGAUUACUUUUUAUAUGCACUCGGAAUUUCUUUGAAUUAUAACUAGUUACAUUUGAUUUAGCGCCAUAGAAACAACUUGUUUUCAUUAUUGUUGCUACGGGUCCGAUUCGUGAGAAUCUCUAGUUUUUAAUUUUAAUAUUGUUAAAUUUCAUGAUAAAUACCUAACGCAUUGCGCCGUGUUUCGUUAUUUCGUUUUAAUUUGCGUUACAAUUGAGUUUUGUCUUGCCUGUAAUUCAUUUAUUAUAAGUUUUUAGUAGCAGCCCUGGACGGCGGUUUACGUUUCUACGUUGUGUGAUUACCUACCGUUGUAUUUCUAAUUUAUUUACAUUAUUGCCGUGUUUUCCAUUCACUCAGAAUAUUGUUGCUUAGUUUGGAAGCUAUUUAAUAUGUUGAAAAUUAAACAUGAAAAUGAUGAAACAGAACAACACUCCUUUCAAGUCAUUGCACCCAGACCGUUAGAUGUGCAGUUCAAAAACAAUGAAAUUUCUACAAUAGAGGAGUAUUUGGUAAAGAAUGAAGUGGACAAUACUUAUGAAGUUUUGAAGCGACAUAAUGUGUUGAAAAUUAAACAAGAAACUGAUGAAACAGAAGAACACUCCUUUGAAAAGUCGUUUGAAGUCAUUGAACCUGAACCGUUAAAUGUGCAGUUAAAAAAAAAUGAAAUUUCAACAACAGAGGAGAAUUUAGUAAAGAAUGAA